UGACUAUGGAUAUAACCUACCUGCGCUUCUGAUAAUUGUGCAUGAAGCAUAUGAAAAGAAUGGUCGAUUUCCUCAAUUUGAGCUG